AAUAAGUGUAGCCAUGAGUUUUCAUGUCUAACUUUUAUCUUCCGUCUUAUUUGAAUUUUUUAUGAUUAAUAUUUUUAUGUUAUUAGAUUAUAAAACAUUACUAGUACAUUAAGCGUGACUUAUGUUUUUUUAGUUUUUUUUUAAAAAAAAAUUUAAAUAAGAUGGACGAUUAAAGUUGGAUACAGAAACUCGUGGCUGCACUUAUU
rfam:Oryza sativa (indica cultivar-group) chromosome 5, whole genome shotgun sequence.